GACGAACGCUGGCGGCGUGCCUAAUACAUGCAAGUUGAGCGCUGAAGGUUGGUACUUGUACCAACUGGAUGAGCAGCGAACGGGUGAGUAACGCGUGGGGAAUCUGCCUUUGAGCGGGGGACAACAUUUGGAAACGAAUGCUAAUACCGCAUAAAAACUUUAAACACAAGUUUUAAGUUUGAAAGAUGCAAUUGCAUCACUCAAAGAUGAUCCCGCGUUGUAUUAGCUAGUUGGUGAGGUAAAGGCUCACCAAGGCGAUGAUACAUAGCCGACCUGAGAGGGUGGUCGGCCACCUUGGGACUGAGACACGGCCCAAACUCCUACGGGAGGCAGCAGUAGGGAAUCUUCGGCAAUGGACGAAAGUCUGACCGAGCAACGCCGCGUGAGUGAAGAAGGUUUUCGGAUCGUAAAACUCUGUUGGUAGAGAAGAACGUUGGUGAGAGUGGAAAGCUCAUCAAGUGACGGUAACUACCCAGAAAGGGACGGCUAACUACGUG
rnacentral:rRNA from 1 species